rnacentral:misc_RNA from 1 species
AACACAAUCAACACUGACAACUUAUCGAAUAAUCUCUUAAAAUACAAAAUCUAUUCUUCAUGCCACGAAUUCGCCGCACUUCAUAAGUAAAACCAAUUUAAACACACUCGACAGACACGUCCGCUCGGGUACUCCUACGUAACCAGCAUUUUAAACCUAAGCUUUACCCCACGACACUAGUACGCCACAAUCAUGUCCUCACAUGCAACAAGAUAUUUUGACAACCAUCUAAUAUAACUACGACAUUUUUAUGCUUCAAUCAAGAUAAUCAUUGUGAUUAAUAUAUCUGUUCAAUCCAUCGACCCAAUCAAUUAAUAAAAAUAGCGAACUAGAGAACGAUUACUGAAUUAACUAGAACUCCAAGCAAACAUUGAUGAUUCUUGUUCCUGCCUCCUGUCGAGUCCCUAGCAAGCGCCCCGUGGGUUCCACUACUUCACUCAAACUUCCAAGAUUACAGCGGUGAUCGAAGGCGAGCACGUAGAGACAGAGUCGGAGCGAGCACGACGACAGCAAGAUCGCCUACCAGCAAUAGUGCGGAGGCAAAUGACGACAUCGACGUGUUGGCACACCGAUUCUAUUCGACGAAAAUGAUGGCGUGGCGACCCCGGGUUCGGGCGUCUAGCAGUCUAGGCAUGGCUGAGCACCUGAGUGGCGGUCCUCGCCCACCACAAAGGAGUCGAAGCAGGAACAAACGGCAAGGAAUCCAAGAGGCGGACGUUGAAGCCAAACAAGACCGGCAAGGAAGAGCAGGGACGCGGCGUGCACACGUUGCUCGAGGAUGGCGCAUGAUACGACAAGGAGGCGAGGUGUCCGGGCGAGCUCGCAGCAGCAGUUGGCUAGAGAAUAAUGUCCCGACGAGCACGAUCAGAGAGGUGAGCAAGGGCAGAGGGCACCGAUGUCCUUCGACCAGAGACCGAGGCACAUAGCACGGCGGACGGACUUAGCUCCUGGGAGACGUGCGAGGGGGAGCUGGAAGCCAAUCCGAUGGUGGUUCAGUGGCAAGCGAUGGCUGGGUCUGAGGGGGUCAUUGCCCAAGCCGAGCAGCAUGUUGAGGUCAGCACUCCGAGCGUACAGGCUCUGUGCCCAUGUCCGCGAUGAACGAGCCGCAGGAGGAUCUCGGACUCGGGCAUGGAGGAAGCAGAGGGGCACGGCAUGGAGUCAUCGCAGUGCUCCAAGUCGAAGGCCACCACGGUGCUGCUGCAAGACGGACCUUCAUCGGCGCUGGGACAUCGUGGUGGCCGAGCAUGCACCAGAGCCGAGGUGGAGGCGAGCUUGAAGAGGUGGAAUAGGGAGGACAACAGUUGGACCUGGGAGGAGCAAGGAGGGUCACGGCGAUGGAGAGGGCGAGCAGGGAGAUGGGCGUGGCAGCAGAGAGGAGCGCCAUGGGAGACGGGCGCGCGCCAGCACUGGAGCACACGGCCCGGAGAUCCGAUCCAGGAGCCGAGCGUGGGAGGAGGUCGAGAGGAGAACGUCCUACGCCGCUACGCGCAUGGUGCUGCAGCGGAGAGAGCUUCUUGGUGGCCGGCGAGGAGGAAGCAGGGCGCGUGCUGGAGAGCUGAGCAGGAGGGAGCGGGAACUAGGGCGUGGUCCGAGCUGGGGGAAGAUGCGCGCGGGGGGACAAGACGCGAGGGAGAGAGAGGUGCUGAAGAUAGAGAGAGGAGGGGCGACCGGGGGAAGAAGCUUGCACGCGUGGAAGGGGAUAAGCACCGCGAGAAAAUAUCCAGGGAAUGGGGGCGGGGGCAGAUUUUCC